CUUCCAUUCUCAAUCAAUCCGUCUCCUCUCUCGAAUCUCAUCUCAUACUUCUCGGUUAGACAAAAUCUUGUUCUGAAGUUAUGAUAAAAAUCAGAAGAGAAGAAGGAUUGAAGAGAAAACAAUGAUCGAGGGUAGGAUGAAACUCAGACAAUAGGCAAAUCGUCUUGCCCGUCCCUAUUGCCACCGGCCUCUCUUCUCCUCCUAAAGUAGAAAAAAUAAUAAUUGUUUGCUCAUUUCUGCGUCGAAUUGCUUUCAUCUCCAAAAAUGAGAACGAUCGUUUCGCAUUUGAUCCGUCACAAAUCAUCUAUUCCACAGACACGUUUAAGGUUGUAAUUUCCAGCAGGAUAACGAAUAAUCACGUGUUGCAAACAAGAAUGAGGAAAAGCAAAAGUAAGAAGCUGCUAUGUUUUCAUUUUGUUUCAAACUAUACAGAAUCAAAACUAUAAUAAGAACUCUCCUCUUAUCAGUUCCCAUCUCAAAACAAGUAUGAAGCUUCUCUGUUAUAUAUUUUUUUCCUAUACAAAGCGAGAAUCCUUUUCAACGUCUA